GCACUUUAAAUUUUAUUAUAUUUAUUUAUAUAUUAAAAUUAACAUUAAAAUUGAUGUAAUAUAAUGGCGAGUAUUUUAAUUAUAUUUUGAUAAAAAAUAUUAAAUAAAGUAUAUUGUGAUUUGGUAACAAUGAUUUAACACUAGACGACUUUAGAAAAAGAUAUCUAAAUUGAAAACUAAGAUAUACAAUUAUUAAAUUUGUAUUUUCUAUCAGUAUUUUAUUAUUUAUCAUGUUACUUUUCACUUGAAUAAUUGUAACAGGCUAAUUUUGGCCGGGCCCAAUAUUAACCAAAUUAAAAAGAGAAACCAAAUAAAAAAUUAAUAAUAGUCCAGUUACAUCAGCCUAAAUUUGCCCAGCCCAAUAAACCAAACCCAUUUACGGUGGCCCAGUAUAAACCUUGGCCCUAACAGAAACCCUAGCCUCUCUUUAGCCAAACAGAUCGCGCCGGUCCUCCGUCAGCUUCUCCACGAGCGCCGCGCCUUCCACGCACCUCCAGCUGGCCGAACCUGUAACGAACAGAAACAAACAGUAGCAACAAAUGCGAAUAACAACAAAGGGCAAUAUUCUAGGAAAAAAUAAUAGCAGAAUAAGAGAAUAGAUUUUUGAAUAUUUUUCAUUUUUUUUCUCUUCGUUGCAGCUAUAUAAAGCCGAGUACAAAACUGUAAAGGGGGGAUCAAAAGAAAACGGAAAGAAAUAAAAAAAAUCAGGAUAUUUUUCGAAGAAAAGAGGUGUUGAUUCACGUUCAGUUGCUAAAUAGAGAGCUUGUCAUGGAAAAUUGAUUUCUUGAUAAAGUGAAAAAUAAUACGGCUGUCCGAAUAUGUUCCGAGAAAACACAACAAGAGAAGGGUGAUAGUUUAAUGGAGGAGUACACGACUUUACUUCGUUGCCCGAGGAUUCAAGUUGACAAAGAUUAUUCAAGAGUCGUCAACGUCUAGACCUUUUUAAAGAAGCUAACGAGCUUCACAAGGAUGGGUGAACGAUAGGUUGCGACUCGGAUCAAGUAAAAAGCAGGCGUCCCUUGGAGGAAUUCACGAGAUUUAUCUUAGCAUCCGGAUGAAGAAAAGGAUCGAUGUUUUCUCCUGGAGUAUGAAGGCGAGGCCGUGCAUGUGUCCGUUUUAUGUAAAGAAAUUUGUUUUCUAGUAAAGUUUUCUAAAUGAAACUGAAUCGGAAUCAACGUCUUUUUGCAUUCA